GCUUCCCUAAUUGGAGGUGCGUGGGGGUGGAGAAAGGAAAAAAAUGUCAUGGCAUGGGUGGAGGUGGAAUAGACGCGGGGGAGGAAGGUUUAUAUAGUGUGUCGGAUUUUAUGGUAAAAAAAAGAGGGUCGGUGUAGAGAGGGGACUAAGGAGAUACAGAGUGUGGUGUCGCGGCGGCGGCGGCGGUUGAGGCUAAGGCCCUCCGAGGCCACCUGAGGGUUGGGUGACGAGUGCCUAGAGGGGCUGAGGGAGAUACAAGAGGGGGCUAUGAAGUGUGGGCAGGUGGCGCGGGGACGUGCGUGCGGUGCGUUGUUGGGAUCAGCGGUUCGCAGCGGCCGCACCGAGGUCAUCGAGACCAAAUAGUCGGUUGAUGGUGACGUAGUGGAGUGCACGUCGUCGGCCGAGCCCUAACUGUAACUAAAUAGAUGAUGUGAUCACGUAACGUUAUUUCUCUUUAGGUACUUAUACGUCUUCUUCGGAACCCUUAAUAAAUUCAGUCAACAAAUAUCGUACUACAAAGGUUUAUCAUCUUCCUACGUACUAACCAGUCGUGUGUUUGAGAACCGGUCCAAUGUCUCUGAGCUAACAAGGUUCAACUACAACAACCGCGAUUUUGUAUCUUGUGGUGAUCACGGUUCCACCUAAAUGAUCCUCUAACGUUAUAACCUACUACGUACCAAGUCUACAACUAACGUUCCAGUUCUUAUCCCCACGAUGAUCUAUCAAAGUGUAACACAGAAAAAGAUCACGGUUACAAAGUUAGUAAUACAAAGACUAUAAAAGACACAGUUACAAAGCUAAUAAUACAAAGUCUUACCGACUCUGCAACCAACGUUCCAGUUCUUACCCUAAUCAUGAUCAAAGUUUAGAACAUUAGAAACAUAGCACAGGAAACAUUAUGUUUGUUCAACUAAAUUAUGUACUCUUUAAAGAAAAAU
rnacentral:rRNA from 1 species